AAACCAUGAUGGGGAAAACUCCUCAGUAAAUCCUUGAACAUUCCCAGGAAUCAUACAAAGCUUUAUUCUUUUAUUGAAGAAACCCUGCUAUGUCAUUCCUCAACUU
rfam:Ricinus communis cultivar Hale ctg_1100012322633, whole genome shotgun sequence.